GUUGCCCAACCUCAAACUUCCUUCUUUGAAUGUGCAUGUCAUGCCACUUUUUUGUGCGCUCCUUGUAGAGUUUUGCGUUCUCAUAGGCUUCCCAUCGAAACUCAUCCAUUUCAUUCAACUGAAGUAAUCUCUUUUCACCGGCAGCCUUUAAAUUAAAGUUCAAGUUCUUGACUGCCCAAUAAGCUCGGUGCUCCAAUUCAACUGGCAAAUGACACGC
rnacentral:lncRNA from 1 species